UAACAUCCGGAAACGGGUGCUAAUACCGCAUAGUUUCUUGAUCGCAUGAUCGGGAAAGGAAAGACGGCCUUUGUGCUGUCGCUUAUGGAUGGACCCGCGGCGGUAUUAGUUAGUUGGUGAGGUAACGGCUCACCAAGACGAUGAUACGUAGCGACCUGAGAGGGUGAUCGGCCACAUUGGGACUGAGACACGGCCCAAACUCCUACGGGAGGCAGCAGUAGGGAAUCUUCCGCAAUGGACGAAAGUCUGACGGAGCAACGCCGCGUGAGUGAAGAAAGGGUUUUUCGGAUCGUAAAACUCUGUUGUCAGAGAAGAACAAGUUGGAGAGUAACUGCUCCAGCCUUGACGGUAUCUGACCAGAAAGCCACGGCUAACUACGUGCCAGCAGCCGC
rnacentral:rRNA from 1 species